rnacentral:rRNA from 1 species
UAGCCGUAAACGAUACUCGCUAGGUGUCGGCCACGGUGCGACCGUUGUCGGUGCCGUAGGGAAGCCGUGAAGCGAGCCACCUGGGAAGUACGGCCGCAAGGCUGAAACUUAAAGGAAUUGGCGGGGGAGGCACCACAACGGGUGGGAGCCUGCGGUUUAAUUCGGACUCAACGCCGGGAAGUCUCACCGGAUAAGACAGCUGAAUGAUAGUCGGGAGUGAAGACUCUACUUGACUAGCUGAGAGGAGGUGCAUGGCGUAGACGUCU